rnacentral:rRNA from 1 species
AUGACAAUGGAGGCCUUCGUCGUUGACGGAGGAAAUGAUGGGACAGUUGCCCAUUGGGGUUUGCGGCCUGUCACAGGUGAUCGGUCGUGGGGGUCGUACAUGAGGUUUGCAAGCAAUCCCAAUAACUCAAUGUAUGGUCAGCCGAUGGUGUAUGUGGAGUUCAUUUCAGUCACUGAUGUUGCCGGAUGCAGUAGCAUGGGUGGUCAGGUCGAGUUGGCCAUCACAUCAGCCCCUAGCAUCGGCCCAUCGGAACCGACGGGCGGCCAGCCUGUGUAUGACACAGGAUAUUGGUCGGCGGCCGUUGACAUGAGCGAACACGUGGAGGGAUUGCCGGAGGCGCUAGAUGAUGAUGAUCAUUCUUCUGCGUCUUCAGAGUCAAGCGGAGAAGAAGAUGUUCCUCCUCAGAGGGCGGUCGCGGCGGCACUGCAACCUGGGUUUUUACGGGAUAUGAGCAUCACCAACGAAUUUCACUCUGCUUCUGGCCUAGGAGCGGGAAGCCUGGAGGUUGGGCAAGUUUUCCCAGAUAAGAAGUCUGCUUACCAGGCAAUGGGUAGCUAUGCAAUCGGCAUCCACCGCCAGCAUAGAGUGAAGCAGUCUGAUAAAAAAGAGUUGAAGGUCAUAUGCAUCCACACCGCGAAAGGUUGCCGCGGAAGAGUUCUCGCUAGACUGAAGCCUGGGGUAUGUCAGUCAUGGCAUAUCACAAAAAUAGUGGAGCAUACCUGUGAGCAAACUGGGACUCUUUCAGAUCACUGCAAUGUGACAGCAAAAUUUGUGGCACAGACGAUGGAAACAAUUGUGCAGGGAAGUCUCAACAUUAGUGUUAGGGCUCUGCAAAAAGAUGCAGAGGAUCUAAUUGGAUUCCCUGUUAGCUACAGCAAGGCUAGGCGUGCGAAGGAAAAUAUAUUCAAGAACUUGUAUGGUACCUAUGAGGAGGGUACACAGGAUAUGAUGCAUACACCCAAGGUGAGGGAUCUCAGCUGUAUCUCUCCACGCGAGGGAUCCCCAUGCCCGAGGAGACUCGUGUACCAGAUUUAA